UACGUAGGGGGCUAGCGUUGUCCGGAAUCAUUGGGCGUAAAGCGCGUGUAGGCGGCCCGGUAAGUCCGCUGUGAAAGUCCAGGGCUCAACCCUGGGAUGCCGGUGGAUACUGUCGGGCUCGAGUCCGGAAGAGGCGAGUGGAAUUCCUGGUGUAGCGGUGAAAUGCGCAGAUAUCAGGAGGAACACCAUGGCGAAGGCAGCUCGCUGGGACGUGACUGACGCUGAGACGCGAAAGCGUGGGGAGCAAACAGG
rnacentral:rRNA from 1 species